ensembl:snoRNA LOC120102699 small nucleolar RNA SNORA17
CCUCUCAUUACAUAUGUGCUAAUUGAAACAUUUAUGAAACAGUAGGUGACAGAGAGGAGAGGGGUUAUGCCUAUGCUCAGUGUUCUAACCUGUGACCAUCUGAAUGAUUAGUAGCCUAACUCU